UAUCAGUGACGCAAAGUUUCCUGAUGCGCAGUCUGGUUCUGAAAAAGGAAUUAAUCACGCACUUGUUGGCAACGCCGGCAUGAACAUCAUUUACGAAGCAG
rfam:Acidimicrobiia bacterium BACL6 MAG-120910-bin40 contig00171_1_120910-bin40, whole genome shotgun sequence.